CGGCGCCGGGAGGGGAGGGGAGGGCGGCACGCCGGGCGCUUCUCCCACACGGAGAUUGUUCCUGCGGCACUGGCAGGCGCGGUGCAACUUCACCGGAGUUAAUUUGGGUCUGCGAUGAAAACUCCUCCACCUGUGCCAAGCGCUGCUCGGCAUCCAGCACUAAAGUCAGCCUACGCGCGGUGCUUCAGCUGCCUGUUUAUGCCUCGGGAGCUGACUGGUGACUCCUGUUAAAUUAAGGACUAGUGACAGAAGCCUCAGACAGAUGACCAAUCCAUUGAAGCAGUGGUUAGAGGUCCUCCCACUGCAAGGCAAGCUACAGCCUUGAGCUUACCAUGAAUACCCAUGGACUUUAUCACGUGCCAGAUCCCUUUAAUGAAACCAGCACCCUGGCCCUGAGAUGAUGUUUAAGGGUUCUCAAGGUCCAGUUCUAAUGCAGACAAGCUGUGUCCACCUUAAACAGAGCCUCGUUAUUGUUCACGCUACUUGAAUCUGCCAUUAAUAUUUUGGAAGGUGUGUGGAUGUAACGCCAGCCAAAAUGAAGGAACUGAAAGAUGUGAGGCCAUGACUGUGCCACCAGACAUCCUGCCUCAACCCAUGCAAGCAGAGAAAUAAAGGCACGUCUGCUCCUGUUUCCUACAUAUACCUACUUAGAGAACACAGACCCAUUAAAGCUGAGCCAGACAGA